UACAGAGGGUGCAAGCGUUAAUCGGAAUUACUGGGCGUAAAGCGUGCGUAGACGGUUACAUAAGUCGGGUGUGAAAGCCCCGGGCUCAACCUGGGAAUUGCAUUCGAGACUGCGUAGCUAGGGUGCGGAAGAGGGAAGCGGAAUUUCCGGUGUAGCGGUGAAAUGCGUAGAUAUCGGAAGGAACACCAGUGGCGAAAGCGGCUUCCUGGUCCAGCACCGACGUUCAGGCACGAAGCGUGGGGAGCAA
rnacentral:rRNA from 1 species